GAGACAUUCCUAUGGAGCAGGACUUGCUUCAGUGGGUCAUUGGUGUUCACUGAGUCCGCCCCUUGAGUGUGUUACU
rnacentral:pre_miRNA from 1 species